GAUGAACGCUGGCGGCGUGCCUAAUACAUGCAAGUCGAGCGAACGGACGAGAAGCUUGCUUCUCUGAUGUUAGCGGCGGACGGGUGGGUAACACGUGGAUAACCUACCUAUAAGACUGGGAUAACUUUGGGAAACCGGAGCUAAUACCGGAUGAUAUUUUGAACCGCAUGGUUCAAAAGUGAAAGACGGUCUUGCUGUCACUUAUAGAUGGAUCCGCGCUGCAUUAGCUAGUUGGUAAGGUAACGGCUUACCAAGGCAACGAUGCAUAGCCGACCUGAGAGGGUGAUCGGCCACACUGGAACUGAGACACGGUCCAGACUCCUACGGGAGGCAGCAGUAGGGAAUCUUCCGCAAUGGGCGAAAGCCUGACGGAGCAACGCCGCGUGAGUGAUGAAGGUCUUCGGAUCGUAAAACUCUGUUAUUAGGGAAGAACAUAUGUGUAAGUAACUGUGCACAUCUUGACGGUACCUAAUCAGAAAGCCACGGCUAACUACGUG
rnacentral:rRNA from 1 species